AACGAACGCUGGCGGCAGGCUUAACACAUGCAAGUCGAACGCUGUAGCAAUACAGAGUGGCAGACGGGUGAGUAACGCGUGGGAACGUGCCUUUCGGUUCGGAAUAACUCAGGGAAACUUGAGCUAAUACCGGAUACGCGCUUCGGGGGAAAGAUUUAUUGCCGAAAGAUCGGCCCGCGUCCGAUUAGCUAGUUGGUGAGGUAAUGGCUCUCCAAGGCGAGGACCGGUAGCUGGUCUGAGAGGAUGAUCAGCCACACUGGGACUGAGACACGGCCCAGACUCCGACGGGAGGCAGCGGUGGUGAAGAUUGGACAAUGGAGGCAAGCCUGAUCCAGCCAUGCCGCGUGAGUGAUGAAGGCCCUAGUGUUGUAAAGCUCUUUCGCCAGGGACGAUAAUGACGGUACCUGGAUAAGAAGCCCCGGCUAACUUCGUGCCAGCAGCCGCCGUAA
rnacentral:rRNA from 1 species